rnacentral:rRNA from 1 species
AGCGAACGCUGGCGGCAGGCCUAACACAUGCAAGUCGAACGGACCCUUCGGGGUUAGUGGCGGACGGGUGAGUAACACGUGGGAACGUGCCUUUAGGUUCGGAAUAGCUCCUGGAAACGGGUGGUAAUGCCGAAUGUGCCCUUCGGGGGAAAGAUUUAUCGCCUUUAGAGCGGCCCGCGUCUGAUUAGCUAGUUGGUGAGGUAAAGGCUCACCAUGGCGACGAUCAGUAGCUGGUCUGAGAGGAUGACCAGCCACAUUGGGACUGAGACACGGGCCAAACGCCUACGGGAGGCAGCAGUGGGGAAUCUUGCGCAAUGGGCGAAAGCCUGACGCAGCCAUGCCGCGUGAAUGAUGAAGGUCUUAGGAUUGUAAAAUUCUUUCACCGGGGACGAUAAUGACGGUACCCGGAGAAGAAGCCCCGGCUAACUUCGUGCCAGCCGCCGCAGUAAAAC